CUUGAAAACUUAAAAAGAUAGAACCUAUUGAUAAACGCCAACCAACAUUGGCGGUAGGAAAUUCUGAAUAGGCUACCGAUUCUACCGAAGGAUACUUUGGUCAUGGCGGUUGCUCUUAAAGGUAACGAUAAGAACAGGAGGUUGAGACCCAAAGCCUAAGGAAUUGUACUUUAUUUAUCGUAGUAUAGCACAGGAAGUGUGUCGGGGGAACAAUAGAAAGUUAAUCGAAAGAUUAGCCUCUCCAAGUUAGGUGGAAACAGGUGGUGCUGUCGCAGACCUUGGAAAUACCAAUAAUUCCCUUUGCGGUGAAGCCAAGAAAUUGGUGUAUAAGACAUGCAAGAAACCUCUGAGUAGCAGAAAGCGCAAAUAACAAGAUGAUGGAAGAUGAAAAUGGUCAGUAGUCUUUGAAUUUCUGAAAGUAACUGUGAAAGGUGCUGGGUAGACAUUCCCGUCAAGGCAAUACGGACUUUGGUCAGGGUAAGAAUGCAUAAGGGUAGCUGCUUAUGCACAGACUUAUUCUCCUUGUAGUGUAAUAAUAUUAAAGAUAAAUAAAGUAGGUUGAAGAACCCAAAUCUGUUUAAGUUUUUA
rnacentral:ncRNA from 1 species